rnacentral:lncRNA from 1 species
UAAACUUAACAAGUUCAACUUAAAUUUUCUAUGCAAAAUCUUUAUCUUUAGUCAUUCUCGACUUCCAUGGCCACCUCGACUCCAGAACUGCAAAACUGAAAAGAUAAGGGGUGAGCAUAUUGAAAAUAUACUCAGUGAGAAACCAUGCAAAUAUUCACAUACGCUUAAACAUGCAAAUAAUUCACAUCCUCAUACACAAAAUACUGAUAAUCUGAUGGGCGAAC